rnacentral:lncRNA from 1 species
UUCCAAGAAUAUUUUAGAUACUGAGUGUCUUUUCUUCCAUACUUUUCACAAUCAAAUUGAGAUUCUAGAAAGGGACACGUUGAAGAGUUGUAGAGUAGAGGUUUUGAUGAAUUAUCAAUCACCCAACUUCCAGAAAACAAAUUACAACUAUUUAGAUGUUUUCUUCCUCUUCCAAAUGACUCUUUUGCUCUUACUUGGUGCAUAGACACAAGAAGAGCUAAACUAAACAUUGAAAGAAAAAUCAAGUUAUAAACAUUGGAACCCAUAUUAAGUGUUAGUGAAUAAUAACAAGGUGAUGUUAGUAUGUGCUAGUUGCUCAUAUAUAUAUAUAUAUAUAUAUAUAUAUAUAUAUNNNNAGAGAUUGUUCCAUGUAUCUGGUAGUCCUGGUAAGCACCAAUGACUGCAGUCACUACGAUGAUCUCAGUAUAGACAGAAGGGUGUGCAUCUUUUCUUAAUUGUGAGAGGAGGCGUUAUAUCAAGCAGAGAAACCUGCUUCUUCAUAUUCUUUAACACUUUGUUCACUACAUCAGUCGCGAGAGGAAGAGCGUUGGAUAUUUGGCCCGAGUACCGGUUCACUUCCCCGUUACAUGUUAUUAUUUGGUUCGUUCGCAUUCCUUGCCUCUAAGAAUCAAUGAAAAGAGAAUCAUUAAAUUUGUUUUCAAUUAUUCUUAUAAAAUGUAGAAUGUAAGAGUUACUUACUGGUAAUGAGUAGGGGAAAUCCCUUGAAAGAAGAGUUUAGUUUUGGAAGCAUCAACAUUUGCUUCAACCGCAUGAGCCCAAGUGGUUAAUCCUUUAUAAAAUGCUUCCAAACGGUCGCAUGUUCUUCACUAGAUCGGAACGCAUCUCUAAUGUAAUCCCAGCUGAUGUAACAAACUGAACAACCAUUAAAAUUGAGUUAGAAAAAAACAAUAAACGCUAUUGUAGACGAAAGCAAUAGCCUUUGUGAUUUUCCAGUGUGGAUCCACCAAUGGGCCAUGAGUUGAAGAUCAACAUGUCCAUGCCAAUCCAGCAUCACCAGCUUUAAUGGAAUUGAGCGUAAGAACUUGCCCAACAUUUUCCUUGAUUAUGUCCACCAAAAUGGUGUGGCGGUAUAGAUGGAUGGUCACUCCAUAGUCCUACACAAUAUCACCACUUAGUUAUUUCUCUAAGGUUAUAAUAUCAAAGUUUUGACUUCGUUUUUCUUUCUUAUAUAAAGUAUUUAUUAGUUUUUUUUUGGAUUUAAUCUAUUUAUAUUUAUAAUAAGUUCAGUAAUUAAAUUGGGUCAAAGUUUAAUUAAUUUUAUUUAUAUGAAAACUUUAUUAGUUUAAAAUUUUGAAUUUUUCAAAAAAAAAGAACUUUAUUAGUUAUUACAUAGAAGUAAUAUUUUUAAUUAAUAAAAAUAUUUAUACUAUAAUAUAAAAAGAUAACUAAUAAAAUAUACUUUCAACUUUGGUAUAAUAUUUUUUUGGAAAAUAUAUCUUUAACAAUAAAUAGUUUUUAAUUUAAAAAUAUAUACAAUGAAUAGUAAAUUGAAGAUAGUAAGUUCAAAUAUAUAAAUAUAUUAAAACAGAAAUAAAAAAUUAAUUUAAAUUAACUUAUACCAUAAAAUGAAUAUAAACAAAAAGUAACCAUGUCUGUCUUUUUUACUAGAUUAAAUUAUUUAAUACAUGAACAUACUCAAAUCUUUUUAAAUAUGUUAAUUAAAAAUAUUUGAUUUUUCUAACCUAAAAAAUAUCUUAUUUUAAUGUUUGCUUUAGGCCAAACAACUUAUGAAGCCCGUCCUAAAGCAAUUGUUGCUUGUUUGUAUGUUGUAUAACUUGAAAUAUAACAUAAUAAAACGAAAAACAAUUACCUUAAAGAUCACAGUUGAUAUUGGAUCUUUCUUUGAAAAUGAUGUAGCAGCAUUUGGUACAGAGGCGUGAAUCAUACAGGAUAAUGAUUCCCACAUGUUUAGACUCAAUGAAUCACCUACAAACAUUAUCUUCUUACCUUCCACUUGUUCAAGAAAUCCUCUCCAUUGAACCUACACCAAACAAAACAUGUUAAUUACAUAUAUUUAAACAUAUAUUUCUAAUAUUACAAAAGAACAGUUCGGAAACACUACCUUGGUAAGGAACUAUGAAUUUGGCUUCCAAGAAUAUUUUAGAUACGAGUGUCUUUUCUUCCAUACUUUCACAAUCAAAUUGAGAUUCAGAAAGGGACACGUUGAAGAGUUGUAGAGUAGAGGUUUUGAUGAAUUAUCAAUCACCCAACUUCCAGAAAACAAAUUACAACUAUUUAGAUGUUUUCUUCCUCUUCCAAAUGACUCUUUUGCCUUACUUGGUGGCAUAGACACAAGAAGAGCUAAACUAAACAUUGAAAGAAAAAUCAAGUUAUAAACAUUGGAACCCAUAUUAAGUGUUAGUGAUAAUAACAAGGUGAUGUUAGUAUGUGCUAG